rnacentral:rRNA from 1 species
AACGAACGCUGGCGGCAUGCCUAACACAUGCAAGUCGAACGAGACCUUCGGGUCUAGUGGCGCACGGGUGCGUAACGCGUGGGAACCUGCCCUUAGGUUCGGCAUAACUCCCCGACAGGGGUGCUAAUACCGGAUAAUGUCUUCGGACCAAAGAUUUAUCGCCUUUGGUUGGGCCCGCGUUGGAUUAGCUAGUUGUUAGGGUAAAAGCCUACCAAGGCGGCGAUCCAUAGCUGGUCCGAGAGGAUGAUCAGCAACACUGGGACUGGGACACGGCCCAGACUCCUACGGGAGGCAGCAGUGGGGAAUAUGGGACACUGGGCGAAAGCCUGAGCCAGCAAUGCCGUGUGAGUGAUGAAGGCCUUAGGGUUGUAAAGCUCAUUUACCCGGGAUGAUAAGGACAGUACCGGGAGAAUAAGCACCGGCUAACUCCGU